AAGAGAAAAAUUAGAAGCUGCUAACUAUCUUAAAAACACUAAAAUGUUAUUCUCUUA
rnacentral:tRNA from 1 species